rnacentral:ncRNA from 1 species
CGGACCGGGCCCAAGUCCCCUGGAAAGGGGCGCCUGGGAGGGUGAGAGCCCCGUCCGGCCCGGACCCUGGCCCCCCACGAGGCGCGGUCAACGAGUCGGGUUGUUUGGGAAUGCAGCCCAAAUCGGGCGGUAGACUCCGUCCAAGGCUAAAUACAGGCGAGAGACCGAUAGCGAACAAGUACCGCGAGGGAAAGAUGAAAAGGACUUUGAAAAGAGAGUCAA